rnacentral:rRNA from 1 species
AGGACGAACGCUGGCGGCGCGCCUAAAACAUGCAAGUCGAACGUGAAGCCCGGAGCUUGCUCCGGGUGGAAAGUGGCGAACGGGUGAGGAACACGUGAGGAACCUGCCCCAGAGACCGGGAUAACACCGGGAAACCGGUGCUAAUACCGGAUGCCCUCAUCGGACCGCAUGAUCCGAUGAGGAAAUGGAUUCCGCUCUGGGAUGGUCUCGCGGCCUAUCAGCUUGUUGGUGAGGUAACGGCUCACCAAGGCUUCGACGGGUAGCUGGUCUGAGAGGAUGUCCAGCCACACUGGGACUGAGACACGGCCCAGACUCCGUACGGGAGGCAGCAGUUAGGAAUCUUGCGCAAGUGGGACGAAAGCCUGACGCAGCGACGCCGCGUGCGGGAUGAAGUGCCGUUCGGUUCGUAACCGUCUUUCGAGCGAGGCGACAGUUGACGUACCUGACGAGAACGAACGCCCCGACCUAACGUCGU